rnacentral:rRNA from 1 species
CAGUAGCCGCGGGAACACGUAGGGCGCAAGCGUUAUCCGGAAUUAUUGGGCGUAAAGAGCUCGUAGGCGGUUUGUCGCGUCUGCCGUGAAAGUCCGGGGCUCAACCCCGGAUCUGCGGUGGGUACGGGCAGACUAGAGUGAUGUAGGGGAGACUGGAAUUCCUGGUGUAGCGGUGAAAUGCGCAGAUAUCAGGGGGAACACCGAUGGCGAAGGCAGGUCUCUGGGCAUUAACUGACGCUGAGGAGCGAAAGCAUGGGGAGCGAACAGGAUUAGAUACCCCCGUAGUCCCUGUCUCUUAUAC